UACGGGGGGGGCAAGCGUUGUUCGGAAUUACUGGGCGUAAAGGGCGCGUAGGCGGCCUGUUAAGUCGAACGUGAAAUCCCCGGGCUCAACCCGGGAACUGCGUCCGAUACUGGCAGGCUUGGAUCCGGGAGAGGGAUGCGGAAUUCCAGGUGUAGCGGUGAAAUGCGUAGAUAUCUGGAGGAACACCGGUGGCGAAGGCGGCAUCCUGGACCGGCAUUGACGCUGAGGCGCGAAAGCCAGGGGAGCAAACGGG
rnacentral:rRNA from 1 species